AUUGAACGCUAGCGGGAUGCCUUACACAUGCAAGUCGAACGGCGUGGCGAACGGGUGAUUAAUGUAUCGGAACGUGCCCAGUAGCGGGGGAUAACUACGCGAAAGCGUAGCUAAUACCGCAUACUAUUGGAGCGGCUGAUAUGGGAUUAGCUAGUUGGUGGGGUAACGGCUCACCAAGGCGACGAUCCGUAGCUGGUUUGAGAGUACGACCAGUCACACUGGGACUGAGACACGGCCCAGACUCCUACGGGAGGCAGCAGUGGGGAAUGUUGGGCAAGGGGGGAAACCCUGAUCCAGCAAUCCCGCGUGAGCGAAGAAGGCCUUCGGGUUGUAAAGCACUUUUGGCAGAAAAGCGGUACCUGAAGAAGAAGCACCGGCUAACUACGUGCCAGCAGCCGCGGUAAUUC
rnacentral:rRNA from 1 species